rnacentral:rRNA from 1 species
UACGAAGGGGGCUAGCGUUGUUCGGAAUUACUGGGCGUAAAGCGCACGUAGGCGGAUUUGUAAGUCAGGGGUGAAAUCCCGGGGCUCAACCUCGGAACUGCCUUUGAUACUGCAAGUCUUGAGUCCGGAAGAGGUGAGUGGAAUUCCUAGUGUAGAGGUGAAAUUCGUAGAUACUAGGAAGAACACCAGUGGCGAAGGCGGCUCACUGGUCCGGUACUGACGCUGAGGUGCGAAAGCGUGGGGAGCAAACAGG